rnacentral:lncRNA from 1 species
AGUUUUUGGCAGAAAGGGUAACCAAGCCCCCGCUGAUGAGAAUAGUUAAGCCAAGGGACAUGGGGAGGGGGUGAACGUGCUCUGCUCAGUGAGAAUGGUGUGUCUGAAGGCCUGUGGGUAAAUGCCAGGCAAAAGCAUUUGGGUGUUUUUUUUUUUUUCCCCUAAAGAAAUGAUGGGAGCCCCUGAAGGAUUUUAAGGAGGGGAAGGAAGAGGCACAGCUGAAAUCACAGACAGGUGUGCUCAGGACGGAUGCACAGGUAUAAGCUGCCAAGACAAGUCAUCCUCUUGGUUUUGAAAGAAAUGGCUGGGCCCAGCUGGCAGUUGACCAACCAAGCAGUAUUUAUGGAGCCCUUCUGACAUCCAAGGUCUUCCCGUGCAGGGUCAGGGAGGGACACAGAGAGAAAGAAGUGGAGCUGGCAACCCCCGUGGGGCAUCACGAUGCAGUUAAAGUUGCAGGUAUUGUCCCUUGGAUCCAUCAUACGAGGGUGAAGGGAACAUACAACGCAGACCCAAAAAAAGUUGAGUGGACAGCACAGAGGGACCCCGCUGACCCUCGAGAGACUAAGACCUUCCUUAAGAAGAAGGAAAAGAAGAUUCCAGACGAGUCCUUUCAGGAUGAAGCCACACAAUCGACUCCUGCUGCUUGGCCUCAUCAAAGUGAUUUUGAAUUUAACUCCCGUUUCAACUCAGGACAACGUUUUCAUCUCAUGGGGAUCCUAUCAGUCAAAAAGGAAGAAAGACAGGAAUAUAGGCCUGUACAGGAUCUCAGGCUAGUCAACCAGGCUACUGUGACUUUACACCCCACUGUUCCAAACCCCUAUACCUUACUUAGCCUCCUCCCGCCGAGGACUAAAGUUUAUACUCACCUAGAUUUCAAGGAUGCCUUCUGCGUAUGCCUCGCCCCAGCAUCACAUUUGAAUGCGCAGAUCCAGUUGGGGGCACCAAGCAACAGCUCAUCUGGACUCCCCCACAAGGGUUUAAGAACUCCCCAGCCAUCUUUGGGGAAGCCUUGGCUUCUGACCUGAACUCAUUCCAUCCGGAAGAGUAUGGAUGUUGGCUCCUACAAUAUGGGGAUGAC